GUUUACAGCCCACUAAUCUUUGCUUGUCUCAGUAAAAGAAAGGCUUGCACUAUUCCAUCUGUAACUCCCUGAUUAGAUAAAUCCAAGGCUGAAAAACAUACCAGAGAAAUGUUCUGAAGGCUGAGAAAGACUGAGGAAUAACUCAAGCACUUCAAAUCAGAGGCAUGAGAAGCUCAAGUGAUCCUCCCCCCUUUAGCCUCCAAAAGUGCUGGGAUUACAGGCGUGAGCCACACCACACCCAGUCUAUCCUGACAUUUAAAAACAAGACAUCAUGUUCCUGCUUCUGCUGGAAAAAGAGACAGGAUAUCACCAUCUCAAACCAGCACCUUUCAGCAACUGAAGCCUUUUUGUCCUCACCCUGAGUGUUAAGACAAUGGCUCCCUCACACGUCACAGGCCCUGGAAGUGCUACAACAGCUGAAUGGGUUUUCAUGGGACAUAAAUCACUUUCCCACUACCUGCCACCUACAAACCUACUUCUCAUGAACCUUGGAUCCUGCACAAUAUGGCUCGUCAUAUCCUUUGUGACUGCUAUGAACAAGGGGACUAUUUGCAUGAGUAGAUAGAGGGCAUUUUUCCUUUUGACGGUUGGUGUUUUUC
rnacentral:lncRNA from 10 species